UGGACAUCGGUUGAGAAAACUAAGGGCAUCACAUGACUCACUAUCAGAAGGUGAGGAGCCCUGGAGCGAGAUCAUCAGUUUCACCUGUAUCUCAAGUUCUAUUAUUUAUCUGUGGCACGCUGCUGAUAGAUGCUACCUGUGGGAGUGGAGGAGAGGAGAUGAGAUUUUCUUUUUUGCCCUGCUUGUGAUUUCUUCCUCUGAAAAUAACUGCUGUAAUCUUCGUUGUUCCUCAACACCUGCAUCACUGACAAAGAGGAACGUGUGCAACAGUGUCUCCUAGAAACUCUCUUUAUACAUCAAUAAUUUGUUUUGCUCGAUACGCUUUGAGGGGAAAGUAAACGCUGCCAGGUUGAUGUUCAGUUACAAUGUUUUUCAGAG